GCAAGCUAGGUAAACAAACAAUAAACAAUGUUGUUUUCAUACUGAAAAUGAUUGCAAGGUGGCACACUAAAAAGUAAAAUUAAAUUUUUAGAUUACUGAUUGCUGCUCUCCAUUUCAAUGAAAAUGGAAGUAAAGAACAAAGGCGUACAAAAGAAAAUGGGGAAUUAAUGUGGAAAGUGUCUCACCCCAAAUCAAGACAGUCAUGUGGAGUCAUCAAAGGUGUUAAAAUUGAUAGUACUUAUGGUAAGGACAAGUUUUAGCACUCAAAAGCCAAAUAAUUGUUCUACUGAUGGUACAUUUCUUGCACUUCUCAGUUUAAUUCUUCUCCCCCUGUUUUACAGACUAUGUGAAACAACUAAUGGAGGAAGUGAUAAGGUGCAGACAUGCUAAUUCCAGUUUAAACCAAGCAAUUGCAACAGAAAGACAACAAAAAAUACCAGAUCCACUGACUAGUAGAGUUGAAAAAGUUGAUAAAGUAACAGCAGUGCAACAACAUACUUCACGAUUCAAUCUUAACUAAACUGAAGUCUAACACUCACAGCACAGGAUGGUAUAGGAAGUCGAUAUUUCUUGCCAAGCUUUCCAUGUAUCCAUGCUGUCCAUUGCCUAUAGGCAGUGUAACGCAAAGUUCUGGGAAACAAAACAAAA